CCUACGGGUGGCUGCAGUAGGGAAUAUUGGUCAAUGGGCGGAAGCCUGAACCAGCCAUGCCGCGUGCAGGAAGAAGGCCCUCUGGGUUGUAAACUGCUUUUGACAGGGAACAAGUCGGCCAUGCGUGGCUAAGUGAGUGUACCUGUAGAAUAAGCCACGGCUAACUACGUGCCAGCAGCCGCGGUAAUACGUAGGUGGCAAGCGUUGUCCGGAUUUAUUGGGUUUAAAGGGUGCGUAGGCGGCCAUGUAAGUCAGUUGUGAAAUACCCCGGCUCAACCGGGGGGGUGCGAUUGAUACUGCGUGGCUUGAGUGGCAGCGAGGUUGGCGGAAUUGACGGUGUAGCGGUGAAAUGCAUAGAUAUCGUCAAGAACACCGAUAGCGAAGGCAGCCAACUAGGGGCCAACUGACGCUGAGGCACGAAAGUGCGGGGAUCAAACAGGAUUAGAUACCCAUGUAGUC
rnacentral:rRNA from 1 species